rnacentral:lncRNA from 1 species
CCCGCCCGGAGCUGAGGGAGGGAGGGAGGGAGGACCCGGCGCUCCCCGCCCGGCGCCACCCGGGGGGAGUUUCCCCUCAGCGCGGGCAGGUGGGGCCGCUCCGCCGCCCGCCCCGCCUCAGCCCCGCGGGGCAGCGCGGGCAGCUCACGGCUCGGCCUCUGCCCCUCGCCGGCAGCCGCCGCCAGCAGCAACAGGUCCGUGCCCGCUCCUCCCUCCGCCUGCCAGGCGAACAAAGGGGCCGAGCGCGGCCCCGCGCCCGCCCGGCCCCUCCGCCAGCCCGGCCCCUGCGCUUCAGCCAUUUGCCUCGCCUGGCACCGCGGCGCCGCUCGCCGCCGCCUCCCGCUCCGCCGCCUGGGCCGGGCGGCGCGGUCGCUGCGCUGCGGGAGCUGCCCCGGAGCGGCGCGGGGCUCGUCGGCCGAAAGGGGGAAUGCAUGAGGAACACGGAUAUGAAGAGAACUUCCUGAAGGUCAUGCCAAUGAAAUUUGGCUAGUGGGGAAUCGCCUUCCAGAAUAGACUGCGGCCUCAGCCUUCCGCUGAAGCAGUUGCACAAGGUGAAUACAUUGUGAUAGUACUCCCAAGCAUCUGCCGUUAAAGGAGACUUUUGCUCAUCACCCAGCGCAGUGUAGGGACCAGUUGUCGUGAAAAGGAUUACAGUGCCUGCAGACUGCUUAAAAUUUCUGCAGAGCAACGGGAAAACCAGAACUGCUUUUCAGGCUGUUGAGGUGCUCAUCGGGGCGAUCCCACCGAAGGAGCUCAGGUUUUCGGGGGUGAGCUGACGCGGGAGGGGGCCGAGCCGCAGGGUGGAUCCCCGAGGAAAAGGAGAAGCGGCCGCUUAGCCCCGGAAACCAGCGGUGGCCCCGCCUGCGAGAGCGGGGGCCCCGAAUACUAAUGCUGGGAGGCGGGAGGUGUGGGGGGAGAGAAGCCGGGGAGGAGCGAGGAAGGCGCGGAUGCUGAGCGCUGUUGGGUCUGUCCCGCAGGUGAUGGCCGCGCUCCGCACGGACCAGGCGCGCCGCC